CCACUAGUGUGGGUAUGCAACACAGGAACCCGACAUUUGCCCACUUACAAAACAUUCACUUGGGCUAGGACUGAAAGGAUCGCGGGGAAGCAAUUCGAUGCGCGAGCACGGAGCCUGCCUACCCAAACGAUCGUGAUACGACUCAUGCACCACCACGUACAAUGAGCAACAAUUCCAAUCAGCGAACUACAACCCCCAACAAGCAUGUUAUGCCCGUCAAGCAUUGCCGAAACACCGAAUGAAACAGCUGCCCCCACCGCUGGGUGCGAAGAGUUUAAGGAUUACUGAAAGAAACGUGCAUCGUCGACCGAAUCCAAGCCCCAACCAAGAAGGGUUUUAUAAGCU
rnacentral:lncRNA from 1 species